UACGGAGGAUCCAAGCGUUGUCCGGAUUCAUUGGGUUUAAAGGGUGCGUAGGCGGUCUGAUAAGUCAGCGGUGAAAUCCCUCGGCUUAACCGAGGAACUGCCGUUGAUACUGUCAAUCUUGAGUACAUUUGAUGUGGGCGGAAUGUGUCAUGUAGCGGUGAAAUGCUUAGAUAUGACACAGAACACCGAUUGCGAAGGCAGCUCACAAAACUGUAACUGACGCUGAGGCACGAAAGCGUGGGUAUCAAACAGG
rnacentral:rRNA from 1 species